UACGAAGGGGGCUAGCGUUGCUCGGAAUCACUGGGCGUAAAGCGCACGUAGGCGGAUUGCUAAGUCAGGGGUGAAAUCCUGGAGCUCAACUCCAGAACUGCCUUUGAUACUGGCGACCUUGAGUCCGGGAGAGGUGAGUGGAACUGCGAGUGUAGAGGUGAAAUUCGUAGAUAUUCGCAAGAACACCAGUGGCGAAGGCGGCUCACUGGACCGGUACUGACGCUGAGGCGCGAAAGCGUGGGGAGCAAACGGG
rnacentral:rRNA from 1 species